ACUAUAAAAAUGUAUGGCGGAUAACGUUUACAAACAAGGAUUUUCGAAGAUUUAAGACAUUUCGCGACGUUUUACUUAUCUCAAAUAUCUGUCAUGGAUAAAUAAAGUUAUUUAAAUCAACGUGACAUCAAAAUUAUUUCGAUACCUGUAAAAUAUCGGCGUUCAUUUGAAAAUCGCUCGUGCAAGAAUCGAAUUUGCCUCAUAGUUGCCAAGACAAGAUAAUGCACAGCUCGCUUUCCAAGUUUAGAGGCAGUUAUGAUCUAGAAUAUGUUUCAAUGCGCAAAAACUGUGAUAAUAUUAUCACUACACCUUGCUACAGCAUUUGGAUAUGGUAUUCAUCAGUACGUAUGGUUGUUAUUGUCAUAACAUGCAGGGGCGGAUCUAGGAUUGGAAAGCAUGCACACUACCUGUGCAGCUUAUAUUGUUGUUAUUUACCUGGUCACUGAACCGUUUAUGUACCUGUAUAUACGCUAAUGGUGGAGUAUUUUAUCUCAUGAUCCUACGCGAUAUCAUUUCAAGACUCAACAUGUUGAGAACGUUUGCACACAUCGUUUAGCAUCACUCAUCAAACAAAAAACAAUGUUUAGCGCAUGUUGAGUCAACAUAUUGAGAACGUUUGCACGUUGCUAUGAUAACCCAAGUUGCCAAAGGAUUUUUUAUGUCACAAGACAUGACAAUAUACGUAAAGCGAUGUAUUAUUUUUUAGAACUCAAAGAGUAAUUAUAAUUAUAGUUGUUAA